AGGAGCUCUUUGCAGGCAGCUUGCCUGCUGCUUAGAUUGCCUGCCAGGAGGACAAGCAGGAGAGAGGGUGAACAGGGCAAGUGGCUGAGGGGCCUUGGGGCUGGGCAGGGGGCAAUGGGGAGUCAUGUGAGGUGUCUCUGGGGGCCCCCCCAAGGCAGUGGGCCCCCCAGGCAACCGCCUCCCCUUGCCUAAUAGUAGUCACACCCCUGUGUGUGGCCCUGUGAAGUCCAGCAGAGAGCAUGACAUCCCUCCUUUGGGGCUUCUAUCUCCCCCUGAAGGGAGCGGGGGUGAAAUGGUUGCAGGCUGGUUAGGUCCCAGUGGGGUUGAGCAGGUGAUGUAAGGAUUGCUGCAGGGAAUAGCUCCAGUGGGCAGCCAUGUUGGGUAUGGCAGGAAGCAGGAAGUAGACCAGGGAAGGGGUGGGGUGGAGUAGGCUUUAAGCCCUGUCAGCUUUGUAGUGGGGCAUUUAAAGCCAAGGGAGGUGAUCAUGAGGGCUACUCUUGAGAAUGGGAGUUGGAAGUCCCCCUGGAGAGGGAUCUGGCUGGAUGCAGCAAGCCAGGAGAAGGGCUGAGAUCUCUUCAGGAACUAUUUUCAGACCGUCAAAAUUGGAAGAUCGCUCUCUCUUUUGUGGAGUUUCCUCAAAUCGUCUCCUCUUUUUGAAUAUCUGUGAUGCCAUUUCUUCUUUUUGAACAUUUGUGAAUAUUUUUUGGAUUUCCAGUAGGUGGCAUUUGUAUGGUCCUGGUACGCCAUUACCUUCUACAAGAAGAAGAUGAAGACAUUUCCAGGAAGAGACGACCCCUUCUAUUUGAACUUCUGUCUUGAGGACCAAAAUAAUGAGGUCACUAAAGUGGUGGUGAAAUUUUUUUGUUGCUAUCAGAUUAAGAUCUUGUUUAAGGUCUAAUUCAUAGGAGCUUACUGUUUUAUUCUGUUUUAUUCUGUUUGCUAUGUGUAAUAUUUUUUUUAAUGCUUUUUAAUGUCUUUUGUAUGACCUAUGGCUGUAAUAAAAUUGAUUGAUUGAUACUU